rnacentral:rRNA from 1 species
GGGACACGUGGUAUCCUGUCUGAAUAUGGGGGGACCAUCCUCCAAGGCUAAAUACUCCUGACUGACCGAUAGUGAACCAGUACCGUGAGGGAAAGGCGAAAAGAACCCCGGCGAGGGGAGUGAAAAAGAACCUGAAACCGUGUACGUACAAGCAGUGGGAGCACGCUUAGGCGUGUGACUGCGUACCUUUUGUAUAAUGGGUCAGCGACUUAUAUUCUGUAGCAAGGUUAACCGAAUAGGGGAGCCGAAGGGAAACCGAGUCUUAACUGGGCGUUAAGUUGCAGGGUAUAGACCCGAAACCCGGUGAUCUAGCCAUGGGCAGGUUGAAGGUUGGGUAACACUAACUGGAGGACCGAACCGACUAAUGUUGAAAAAUUAGCGGAUGACUUGUGGCUGGGGGUGAAAGGCCAAUCAAACCGGGAGAUAGCUGGUUCUCCCCGAAAGCUAUUUAGGUAGCGCCUCGUGAAUUCAUCUCCGGGGGUAGAGCACUGUUUCGGCAAGGGGGUCAUCCCGACUUACCAACCCGAUGCAAACUGCGAAUACCGGAGAAUGUUAUCACGGGAGACACACGGCGGGUGCUAACGUCCGUCGUGAAGAGGGAAACAACCCAGACCGCCAGCUAAGGUCCCAAAGUCAUGGUUAAGUGGGAAACGAUGUGGGAAGGCCCAGACAGCCAGGAUGUUGGCUUAGAAGCAGCCAUCAUUUAAAGAAAGCGUAAUAGCUCACUGGUCGAGUCGGCCUGCGCGGAAGAUGUAACGGGGCUAAACCAUGCACCGAAGCUGCGGCAGCGACACUAUGUGUUGUUGGGUAGGGGAGCGUUCUGUAAGCCUGUGAAGGUGUGCUGUGAGGCAUGCUGGAGGUAUCAGAAGUGCGAAUGCUGACAUAAGUAACGAUAAAGCGGGUGAAAAGCCCGCUCGCCGGAAGACCAAGGGUUCCUGUCCAACGUUAAUCGGGGCAGGGUGAGUCGACCCCUAAGGCGAGGCCGAAAGGCGUAGUCGAUGGGAAACAGGUUAAUAUUCCUGUACUUGGUGUUACUGCGAAGGGGGGACGGAGAAGGCUAUGUUGGCCGGGCGACGGUUGUCCCGGUUUAAGCGUGUAGGCUGGUUUUCCAGGCAAAUCCGGAAAAUCAAGGCUGAGGCGUGAUGACGAGGCACUACGGUGCUGAAGCAACAAAUGCCCUGCUUCCAGGAAAAGCCUCUAAGCAUCAGGUAACAUCAAAUCGUACCCCAAACCGACACAGGUGGUCAGGUAGAGAAUACCAAGGCGCUUGAGAGAACUCGGGUGAAGGAACUAGGCAAAAUGGUGCCGUAACUUCGGGAGAAGGCACGCUGAUAUGUAGGUGAAGUCCCUCGCGGAUGGAGCUGAAAUCAGUCGAAGAUACCAGCUGGCUGCAACUGUUUAUUAAAAACACAGCACUGUGCAAACACGAAAGUGGACGUAUACGGUGUGACGCCUGCCCGGUGCCGGAAGGUUAAUUGAUGGGGUUAGCCGCAAGGCGAAGCUCUUGAUCGAAGCCCCGGUAAACGGCGGCCGUAACUAUAACGGUCCUAAGGUAGCGAAAUUCCUUGUCGGGUAAGUUCCGACCUGCACGAAUGGCGUAAUGAUGGCCAGGCUGUCUCCACCCGAGACUCAGUGAAAUUGAACUCGCUGUGAAGAUGCAGUGUACCCGCGGCAAGACGGAAAGACCCCGUGAACCUUUACUAUAGCUUGACACUGAACAUUGAGCCUUGAUGUGUAGGAUAGGUGGGAGGCUUAGAAGUGUGGACGCCAGUCUGCAUGGAGCCGACCUUGAAAUACCACCCUUUAAUGUUUGAUGUUCUAACGUUGACCCGUAAUCCGGGUUGCGGACAGUGUCUGGUGGGUAGUUUGACUGGGGCGGUCUCCUCCUAAAGAGUAACGGAGGAGCACGAAGGUUGGCUAAUCCUGGUCGGACAUCAGGAGGUUAGUGCAAUGGCAUAAGCCAGCUUGACUGCGAGCGUGACGGCGCGAGCAGGUGCGAAAGCAGGUCAUAGUGAUCCGGUGGUUCUGAAUGGAAGGGCCAUCGCUCAACGGAUAAAAGGUACUCCGGGGAUAACAGGCUGAUACCGCCCAAGAGUUCAUAUCGACGGCGGUGUUUGGCACCUCGAUGUCGGCUCAUCACAUCCUGGGGCUGAAGUAGGUCCCAAGGGUAUGGCUGUUCGCCAUUUAAAGUGGUACGCGAGCUGGGUUUAGAACGUCGUGAGACAGUUCGGUCCCUAUCUGCCGUGGGCGCUGGAGAACUGAGGGGGGCUGCUCCUAGU